AUGAACGCUGGCGGCGUGCCUAAUACAUGCAAGUCGAGCGAACAGACGAGGAGCUUGCUCCUCUGACGUUAGCGGCGGACGGGUGAGUAACACGUGGAUAACCUACCUAUAAGACUGGGAUAACUUCGGGAAACCGGAGCUAAUACCGGAUAAUAUAUUGAACCGCAUGGUUCAAUAGUGAAAGACGGUUUUGCUGUCACUUAUAGAUGGAUCCGCGCCGCAUUAGCUAGUUGGUAAGGUAACGGCUUACCAAGGCAACGAUGCGUAGCCGACCUGAGAGGGUGAUCGGCCACACUGGAACUGAGACACGGUCCAGACUCCUACGGGAGGCAGCAGUAGGGAAUCUUCCGCAAUGGGCGAAAGCCUGACGGAGCAACGCCGCGUGAGUGAUGAAGGUCUUCGGAUCGUAAAACUCUGUUAUUAGGGAAGAACAAAUGUGUAAGUAACUAUGCACGUCUUGACGGUACCUAAUCAGAAAGCCACAGCUAACUACGUG
rnacentral:rRNA from 1 species